rnacentral:ncRNA from 1 species
UUUAAUAGGCAAACCUAGGGAAAUUUAGGGACGCAAAACUAUAGGGGCUAAAGUUUUUAACUAUGCCAGCCAGCUGCCGAA